AUCACAUCCACCAGUUUCCGUACGAUCAAGUUAAGCAACGCCGAGCCUUGUCAGUACCUAGAUUGGUGACCGCUUGGGAAUGCCAGGUGCUGUCAG